AUACGUAGGGUGCGAGCGUUGUCCGGAAUUACUGGGCGUAAAGAGCUCGUAGGUGGUUUGUCGCGUCGUCUGUGAAAUUCCGGGGCUUAACUCCGGGCGUGCAGGCGAUACGGGCAUAACUUGAGUACUGUAGGGGAGACUGGAAUUCCUGGUGUAGCGGUGAAAUGCGGGGAUAUCAGGAGGAACACCGGUGGCGAAGGGGGGUCUCGGGGCAGUAACGGACGCUGAGGAGCGAAAGCAUGGGUAGCGAACAGGAUUAGAUACCCUGGUAGUCCAUGCCGUAAACGGUGGGCGCUAGGUGUAGGGGUCUUCCACGACUACUGUGCCGUAGCUAACGCAUUAAGCGCCCCGCCUGGGGAGUACGGCCGCAAGGCUAAAACUCAAAGGAAUUGACGGGG
rnacentral:rRNA from 1 species